GGGGAUUUAGCUCAGUGGUUAGAGCGUUUGCCUAGCAAGCGCAAGGCCCUGGGUUCAGUCCCCAGCUCCG
rnacentral:tRNA from 1 species